ensembl:miRNA
GCUUGCCACAGUGAACAUUCAACGCUGUCGGUGAGUUUGAGCGUAAUUUAACAAAAACCAUCGACCGUUGACUGUACCCUGCGG